AAACACAUUCAAGAUGGCGCUCAAGAAAGCUGUCAACGAUAAGAUAAUGAGUGAUGUGAUAGAGUCGGCCCACAAGGAGGGCGAGUGGCGUGUCCUAAUAGUGGAUCAACUGAGCAUGCGAAUGGUUUCAUCAUGCUGUAAAAUGCACGAAAUUAUGUCUAAAGGAAUCACAUUGGUUGAACACAUCAACAAGAGGAGAGAACCACUGCCUCGACUUGAAGCCAUAUAUCUAAUUACACCAACAGAGAAAUCCAUACGGGCUCUUAUGCAAGAUUUCUGGAACCCAAACAACCCACAGUAUAAAUGUGCUCAUGUUUACUUCACUGAAGCUUGUCCAGAUGAGCUGUUUAAUGAACUUUGUAAGAGUACAUCUGCCAAACUUAUAAAAACAUUGAAAGAGAUCAACAUAGCUUUUCUACCAUAUGAAUGCCAGGUUUAUUCUCUCGACUCACAAGAGACAUUCCAGUUCUAUUACAACCUAGGACGAGCCACGGGCCGAACCAUUAACCUGGAGAGGUGUGCUGAACAGAUUGCUACUUUAUGUGCAACUCUGGGAGAGUACCCGGCUGUCAGAUACAGAUGUGAGUAUGACCGCAAUGCAGAGUUUGCCCAGCUUGUCCAACAGAAACUUGAUGCAUACAGAGCUGAUGAUCAUACAAUGGGAGAGGGACCGCAGAAAGACAGAUCACAGUUACUAAUUAUAGAUCGUGGAUUUGACCCAAUAUCACCACUGUUACAUGAACUGACCCUGCAAGCCAUGGCAUAUGAUCUCCUUCCUAUAGAAAAUGAUGUCUAUAAGUAUGAGAAUACUUCAGGCAAUGAAGUACAGGAGAAGGAAGUAUUACUGGAUGAGAAUGAUGAUCUCUGGGUGGAACUAAGACAUCAGCAUAUUGCCAUUGUCUCUACGCAAGUUACAAAACAGCUGAAAAACUUUGCAGAAGCCAAAAGAAUGACAUCCAGUCAGAAAGCAAACUUACGUGACUUGUCACAGAUGGUUAAAGCUAUGCCACAAUACCAGAAAGAACUUAGCAAGUAUGCAACUCAUCUUCACCUUGCUGAAGACUGUAUGAAGGUGUUUCAGAGACAUGUUGAUAAAUUAUGCAAGGUAGAGCAGGAUUUGGCUAUGGGAACAGAUGCUGAAGGUGAGAAGAUAAAAGACCACAUGCGAAAUAUUGUACCAAUACUCCUAGACCAAAACAUCACCGCUUACGAUAAAAUCAGAAUAAUACUGCUGUAUAUUAUACAUAAAGGAGGAAUCACUGAAGAGAAUUUGGCCAAACUUGUACAACAUGCACAAGUGCCAAUGGAGGAGAAAUGUAUCAUCAAUAAUAUGCAAAAUCUUGGGGUUCCAAUUAUACAAGAUAGUGAGAAAGGUGGUAUAACAAAUUUAGGUUUGAUCCCCGAUACGUACUGGAACGUUCCCAGCCAGCAUGGCUCAGAGUGGAAGAAAGAAGGUGACACAACCUUACCAACCAUAUAAUCGUAAAGAAAGGACAUCAGAAAACACAUACCAGAUGUCAAGAUGGACACCUUAUAUCAAAGACAUCAUGGAGGAAGCUGUGGAUGAGAAGUUGAGUACGAGACAAUUCCCGUUUCUUUCUGGUGGAGCAGCCCCAAGGACUGGAUACAGACCCCCAAUCAG
rnacentral:misc_RNA from 1 species